GAUGAACGCUGGCGGCGUGCCUAAUACAUGCAAGUCGAGCGAACAGACGAGGAGCUUGCUCCUCUGACGUUAGCGGCGGACGGGUGAGUAACACGUGGAUAACCUACCUAUAAGACUGGGAUAACUUCGGGAAACCGGAGCUAAUACCGGAUAUUAUAUUGAACCGCAUGGUUCAAUAGUGAAAGACGGUUUUGCUGUCACUUAUAGAUGGAUCCGCGCCGCAUUAGCUAGUUGGUAAGGUAACGGCUUGCCAAGGCAACGAUGCGUAGCCGACCUGAGAGGGUGAUCGGCCACACUGGAACUGAGACACGGUCCAGACUCCUACGGGAGGCAGCAGUAGGGAAUCUUCCGCAAUGGGCGAAAGCCUGACGGAGCAACGCCGCGUGAGUGAUGAAGGUCUUCGGAUCGUAAAACUCUGUUAUUAGGGAAGAACAAAUGUGUAAGUAACUAUGCACGUCUUGACGGUACCUAAUCAGAAAGCCACGGCUAACUACGUG
rnacentral:rRNA from 1 species